UCUUUACGGCUCCCGGGCCACCUACUCCUCAACACAUCUCGGCAGACAGACAACAGGUUCAAAACACGAAAGCGGCUUUGUUUUAAACAAACAGAUUUAUUCGAUAUCACAGUCCACCAGGCAAAGUGUCCGUCGCAAACUCCCUGUCCAUUUUUUUGUUGAACGGCAGUGACUUACGUUCACUUGCGACAUCGAAUAGCGACAAAAUGUUCAACUGUAAUUCCAUCAAUCACCCCGCGCCAUUAAGGACCAGCUUUACGCUCACCUUAAGCCUGCAGCAGCGACUUCUGCCGGGACAGCUAAACUGCACUUCGCAAGCUGUCGUCUUCUCCACAAAAUUUAUUUAUUUUUUUCAUUCCCCGCAUCUGCCUUUACCAGCCCGAGUGACUUUUGUUGUAAUACCACCCGAACCUGCGUCAGUCCAGAUGCAUGCGGAUUCGAAAAUAAAUUGGGCGCCAUUUGUUACACUUGGCUUGUUUCCCAGGGGGCAAUGCCGGCUAGCUGU